AUUGCACGCUGGCGGCAGGCCUAACACAUGCAAGUCGAACGAGUGGCGGACGGGUGAGUAAUGUCUUGGAAACUGCCUGAUGGAGGGGGAUAACUACUGGAAACGGUAGCUAAUACCGCAUACCAUCGGAUGUGCCCAGAUGGGCUUAGCUAGUAGGUGGGGUAAAGGCUCACCUAGGCUACGAUCCCUAGCUGGUCUGAGAGGAUGACCAGCCACACUGGAACGGAGACACGGUCCAGACUCCUACGGGAGGCAGCAGUGGGGAAUAGUGCACAAGGGGCGCAAGCCUGAUGCAGCCAUGCCGCGGGUAUGAAGAAGGCCUGCGGGUUGUAAAGUACUUGCAGCGGGGAGGCGUUACCCGCAGAAGAAGCACCGGCUAACUCCGUGCCAGCAGCCGCGGUAAUUC
rnacentral:rRNA from 1 species